UUAUUAUUAGUUAUUAUUGAUGGAUCACGUGAAUUAACCUCAAUUUCUUUUGGUUCAUUAACUCACCUGGUGUGGAACUUCUUAGUUUAUGCAUUUUUAUUUUAACUAAGAGAUUUAUUCUUCCAUGUAGGUAGGUUCUUUCAACCAAAGCACUCUAGCUUCUCAAGCAAAGAACAUGCCUUUGCUCAUUGGGUUCAAAUCAGAACUUUUAUAGCAUGAAGUAUAUACUGUCUUUAAAUUCGCCAGACAAGAUAAAGAUCAGAUUUAAGAUUCUUUGUAGUUCUUUAUGUGGAGCAGUUACCAUUAAAUCCAAGAGAGUCCACUCAAGCUGGGUUACCACACCAACUUUGUUGAAGAAAAAUGAAGAAAUUGUCACCCUUAGGCUAUAGUAUUUUUGUAUUUUGAAAAAUGGUGAUGAUAUAAGUAAAAGUAGUUAUGACCUAAACUAGUAUUAUGUUAUUUUGCAAUGAUGAUAUAUUGUG